AUUGAACGCUGGCGGCAGGCCUAACACAUGCAAGUCGAGCGGAUGAGUGGAGCUUGCUCCAUGAUUCAGCGGCGGACGGGUGAGUAAUGCCUAGGAAUCUGCCUGGUAGUGGGGGACAACGUUUCGAAAGGAACGCUAAUACCGCAUACGUCCUACGGGAGAAAGUGGGGGAUCUUCGGACCUCACGCUAUCAGAUGAGCCUAGGUCGGAUUAGCUAGUUGGUGAGGUAAAGGCUCACCAAGGCGACGAUCCGUAACUGGUCUGAGAGGAUGAAUGGGCACACUGGAACGGAGACACGGUCCAGACUCGUACGGGAGGCAGCAGUGGGGAAUAUUGGACAAUGGGCGAAAGCCUGAUCCAGCCAUGCCGCGUGUGUGAAGAAGGUCUUCGGAUUGUAAAGCACUUUAAGUUGGGAGGAAGGGCAGUAAGUUAAUACCUUGCUGUUUUGACGUUACCAACAGAAUAAGCACCGGCUAACUUCGUGCCAGCAGCCGCCGUAACAC
rnacentral:rRNA from 1 species